AAGUCGAACUCGGCCCAGUUCAUAGUUGAAACACCAAUCUUUAGUUUCUCCUCUGUACUCCGGUGUUUGAGGGUUCUGAGAAGCUUGUUCUUAUCUACAGUUUCACAGCACUAGCUUUGAGGUAUAAUUACUUUGCAGUAAGAAUUAUUUUCUCUGUGAUGGCUGGGUUUUUGGGAUACAGCAGCCUUGCUCCUAAGGCCAAGAAUCUCCUAGUUGCUGGAGGCUUGACUUCUUUUGUCUUUGGGGUGUAUUUCUACACCAUGAGAGCUGUUGGAGGUACGGAUGAACUUCAGACAGCUAUAGAUAAGUUCGAAGCGCAGAAAAACAAGCAAGAUACUUGAAUCAAUCAUCUAUUAUAGACUUUGUUUUAUUGUUCCCUUGUGUGAAAAUGUAAGAAGCUGAACAAGAAAAAAGGUCAAUUUUAACAUGUAAGAACCGAUUACAGUUUUUCUUUCUAUUUAUAUUUCUUGUUUUUGCAA